rnacentral:rRNA from 1 species
GACGAACGCUGGCGGCGUGCUUAACACAUGCAAGUCGAACGGGAUUUAGUAGACAGAAGCCUCGGCUAAAGAUUACUAAUGAGAGUGGCGAACGGGUGAGUAACGCGUGAGCAACCUGCCUAUGACAGUGGGAUAGCCUCGGGAAACCGUGAUUAAUACCGCAUAAAAUCGUAGAAACACAUGUUUCAACGGUCAAAGAUUUAUCGGUCAUAGAUGGGCUCGCGUCUGAUUAGCUAGUUGGUGAGAUAACAGCCCACCAAGGCGACGAUCAGUAGCCGGUCUGAGAGGAUGAACGGCCACAUUGGAACUGAGACACGGUCCAAACUCCUACGGGAGGCAGCAGUGGGGAAUAUUGCACAAUGGGGGAAACCCUGAUGCAGCGACGCCGCGUGAACGAAGAAGGUAUUCGUAUCGUAAAGUUCUGUCCUAUGGGAAGAUAAUGACAGUACCAUAGAAGAAAGCUCCGGCUAAAUACGUG